UGGAACCAAACUUUCCAAAUACACAUCAAGGGCUCAAUAUGAUUCCGCUGAACUUCUCCCAGCGACCCACAGUUCAAACAAAGACCUCGAGUCAAGAGUGCCACAGCACAGGGAACGCUGCCAGGCCCAGCGGAGCACUCACCACUUCACUCCCAAACAGGCUUGUACCUACCGGCAACCCAGCCAUGGCCAGCUCAUGAUCUUGGACCCCUGCCUACUUCCCUCAAAGCAGGCAAAGGCCAUCGAGUUCGUAUUGGGCUUGAAAUUAAUGAUUGCGAUAACAUAACGAAUGGCGUGGGCAGCGGAGAUGAUUGCUGCUUUGGAGAGGGAGCACCAAGACGACUGCAAACUCUGCCCCUUGACUCUGCCUCGGUGAGGAGGGGAGAGGAAGACGCCAAGCGGAUGGAGCAGCAGAACACACACAGUUGCACAGCAUUUUCCCAUUCAAUUCCUGAUGCAGCUUUCCAAUACUUAAAGUUUUCAGAAAACAAGAUUUCCAAGCCGCAAGAGAGAGAACCACCUUUCCUGCACACACAUUUCUGAAAUAAUAGGAUGUGCUCAGGCUAUUCUCGUUGUGAGAAGAAACAGGGAACAGCAUCAGAUGAACUUGUUGUCAGGUUAUUAUUUGUCAACAAGAUCAAGCAAAGCCCUGCUCUCCUGGAGAAAUCGAAUUUCCCCACCAGCCAGGCUGAAUACUUCCAGCCAGUAUCCUGCCACUUCCCAGCAGACCUGUUCUUAGGUUCACAAAAGUUCCUUCGGUCUCCAUCAAACUCUCAUAUACUCAUGAGGCAUACUUACACAUCCCAUUCCCCAAAUAAUAUUCAGAUUUAAAAAAACAAAAAUCUAUCCAAAGCAUGAAAUUACAUUCAGUGGUGUGUAGCGAUAGGACAAGGAGUAAUGGCCUAAAAACUUGAACAUAGGGAGUUCCAUACAAACAUGCAGAAGAACUUCUCUACAGUAAGAAUGAUGGAAGACUGGAACAGGCUGCCCAGAGAGGUUGUGGAGUCUCCUUUUAUGGAGAUAUUCAGGACCCAUCUGGAUGCCUACCUGUGUGACCUACUGUAGGGUACCUCCUUUGGCAGGGGGUUACACUUGAUAUCUCUUAAGGUUCCUUUCAACCCCUGUGAUUCUAUGAUUCCCAAGUAUUUGUCUUUAGUGACUUUUAGAAAAAAGGCCUCUUCUCUGCUCUGUACAUCCCUGCUAAUGAGCACAAGCAUCAAGAAGUAGAGCAGUGGCCAUGCUACUUGCCCAACUGAUUGCUAUUGCUAAUGAACCACCCUGAUUAAAAGCUGUUCUCGUCAGUCCACAGUGGUGUUCUGAAGGGAGAUCCUGUAGUAAAUGAGAUCAUCAGUGAAAUGAUCAUUAGUGUGUGUAGAUUGUUAAAACCUUCCUGAAAACUGCUAUAAUGAAGCUAGAGUUGAAAGUACUUUUAAUUAAUUUUGGGUCAAAGAAUCCUUGGGAUGUGAAAGUGAUCUGUCACUAUCCCCCCAAAAUUAUACAUCGAAGAAAAGAGCAAGAGGAAUGUCAGGACUGAUUAGAUAACAACUGGAUGGAGGUAAUUAGUUGCUCAACUUCCAAGGAAAAGGUGGCAGAGAGCUCUGUGAAUGUGAGCGUGCAGAAGGCACACAAACAGCCCACGGCCUGCCUCUGCUCAGGGUCCCACAGACCUGAUGGUUCAGGGCAAUGUGAGUGCCAUUUUGGGUGCCAGGUGACUCCCAGGGACUUGGAUUGCCCCCCAGCCCCUUCCAUUGACAAAAGAGAGCUAGGCAAAAGAGGCAGCUAACGAGUUCCAUAGGAGUGUAAGGGAGAGACAUACAAAGAGCAGAGACUAAUACUGACCUUACAUUCCUCCAGUUUAGCCAACACAGUCCCACCUUUGCCAUGUGGGUGGCAUGUGAUGAGUUGGUGUGGGCUCCAGAAAAGCUCCUUGAGCACCACAUAUGUCUGAGAUCUGAGGGAAGUGUAAUUAAAAGCACAGAUUUUGACACAUCUGAAGGAAACAGGUAAUUGUAUGUGCUGAGAUCACCCCUGGGUUACGACAGAGGAGCCUACUAGCCUGCAUGAAUGAUCAGCAGAGCAUUGUACUGAAGAAUGAGAAAACAGUGUGUGAGUCCCCUUGCCUCAAAGGAGGCACCUCUAUCCUGCAGUCCUUUACUCAGGUAACCAAUCAGUCCUUCCAGUUCUGCAGAACAGCAGGAAUGGCAAGGAACUGGCCUUGCACUAAUUAUCCGGAUAUGUUAACACAUUCCCUGCCAUGACUUGGUAUUGAAGGAAGCCUUUAAGACCUUCAGAACUGCAUCUAUGUACCAGAUGCUUGGUUAAUGAGGCCUUCAAGAAACCCAGCUAACAGUCAUUAAACAGAAAACACAAGAUUAACAUUUAAG
ensembl:lncRNA